AGCAAAUAAACACUCCAACAUAUCCUCAUCGUAAUGUUCUCAGAGGAAUACGAGGAUCUCAAGAGGCAAGCAAGUCAUUCGUUUGAGUGACUGGGACAGGAGAAAUGCGCAAGAGAAGGGGUCACAGCAGGUGUGUGGACGACACGCGUUCAUCAGAGCAGCAGUGAUGGAACUUGGCUCCCCAUCUGCAGGACAAUAGUGCCGAUGAGAAAGGCAGGACAAUUGGGAGGGUCAUUUAGAUUUAUUGAGGCCUAGGAACCAGCUCCAGGAACUUGACAGAAGAGCAGCAAAGUCAAAUGAGGUUUUAUGGCACUCUCCAGAUACUAUGUCUAUAAUGGACAAUGUGAGAUAAUAUUUCUUGCAGGAAAGAUACAUCCAAGCACUUCCUUUUCUAAACCAUAUCUGAGAGGACUUCCGAAUAUUCAUAAUCCGGAUCCCGAACCACAUGAAAUAUGUAUUCCGUAACUGCCAGCAUCAGGGAGAGCACACAGGAAUAACGUAUCUUCCUAAGGAAUUUAUAUUUCAUAAUGAUGUAUCAUAUGUAUUUGUGCAGCAGAAACUGCUGUCGAUUUAAUAUAUUAUUAUAAUUGUACAA